UCCCGUGUAGCUUACUUGGUAAAGAGUCUGCCUGCAAUGCAGGAGACUUGGGUUCAAUCCCUGGGUCAGGAA
rnacentral:tRNA from 1 species